rnacentral:rRNA from 1 species
AGAGUUUGAUCCUGGCUCAGAAUGAACGCUGGCGGCGUGGAUUAGGCAUGCAAGUCGAACGAGAACGUUCCCUUCGGGGGAUUAGUAAAGUGGCGAACUGGUUAGUAACAGGUGGGAAACGUGCCUUCUGGCUCGGGAUAACCUUUGGAAACAGAGGCUAAUACCGAAUUCGGCUCCAAGGUCUUCGGGCUUUGUGGCUAAAGAUGCUUCUUUUAGUUGUGUCACCGGAAGAUCGUCCCGCCCCUGAUUAGCUAGACGGUGGGGUAAUGGCUCACCGUGGCGACGAUCAGUAGCUGGUCUGAGAGGAUGGUCAGCAACACUGGGACUGAGAUACGGCCCAGACUCCUACGGGAGGCAGCAGUCUAGAAGCUUCGGCAAUGGGCGAAAGCCUGACCGAGCGACGCCGCGUGUGUGAUGAAGGCCUUCGGGUCGUAAGCACUGUCGAUAGGGAAGAAGGCCUUAUAGGAGCCCCUAUAAGGAUUGACGGUACCUGUAGAGGAAGCCCCGGCUAACUCCGUGCCAGCAGCCGCGGUAAUACGGAGGGGGCGAGCGUUAUUCGGAAUUAUUGGGCGUAAAGAGCGCGUAGGCGGAUGUUCAGGUCUGACGUGAAAUCGUUACCGCUUAACGGAACGAGGCCGUUGGAAACCGGACAUCUUGAGUGCGGCAGAGGUUGGUGGAAUUCCUGGUGUAGCGGUGGAAUGCGCAGAUAUCAGGAAGAACACCGGUGGCGAAGGCGACCAACUGGGCCGUAACUGACGCUGAGGUGCGAAAGCCAGGGGAGCGAACGGGAUUAGAUACCCCGGUAGUCCUGGCCGUAAACGAUGGAUGCUAGACGUGGGAGGUAUCGACCCCUUCCGUGUCGCAGUUAACGCAUUAAGCAUCCCGCCUGGGGAGUACGACCGCAAGGUUGAAACUCAAAGGAAUUGACGGGGGCCCGCACAAGCGGUGGAGCAUGUGGUUUAAUUCGACGCAACGCGAAGAACCUUACCUGGGCUUGAACCGCGGGGUAAAGCCGGUGAAAGCCGGUCUGUCUUUUGGGACGAUCCCGUAGAGGUGCUGCAUGGCUGUCGUCAGCUCGUGUCGUGAGAUGUUGGGUUAAGUCCCGCAACGAGCGCAACCCUUGUCGUUAGUUACCAGCACGUAAUGGUGGGGACUCUAGCGAGACCGCCCGCGUAAGCGGGAGGAAGGUGGGGACGACGUCAAGUCAUCAUGGCCCUUACGUCCAGGGCUACACACGUGCUACAAUGGCGAGUACAACGCGCAGCCAGCCCGCGAGGGUGAGCGAAUCGCUAAAAGCUCGUCUCAGUUCAGAUUGGAGUCUGCAACUCGACUCCAUGAAGGCGGAAUCGCUAGUAAUCGCGUAUCAGCAACGACGCGGUGAAUACGUUCCCGGGCCUUGUACACACCGCCCGUCACACCACGAAAGUCGGUUGUUCCAGAAGUCGCUGCGCCAACCCCCUUGUGGGGAGGCAGGUGCCAAAGGAAUGGCCGGUAAUUGGGGUGAAGUCAGAACAAGGUA